rnacentral:rRNA from 1 species
UACAGAGGGGGCAAGCGUUAUUCGGAAUUACUGGGCGUAAAGCGUGCGCAGGCGGUUAUGCAAGACAGAUGUGAAAUCCCCGGGCUCAACCUGGGAACUGCAUUUGUGACUGCAUAGCUAGAGCGCGGCAGAGGGAGAUGGAAUUCCGCGUGUAGCAGUGAAAUGCGUAGAUAUGCGGAGGAACACCGAUGGCGAAGGCAAUCUCCUGGGCCUGCACUGACGCUCAUGCACGAAAGCGUGGGGAGCAAACAGG